rnacentral:ncRNA from 1 species
CGAGGAAUGCCUAGUAAGCGCGAGUCAUCAGCUCGCGUUGACUACGUCCCUGCCCUUUGUACACACCGCCCGUCGCUCCUACCGAUUGAAUGGUCCGGUGAAGUGUUCGGAUCGCGGCGUCGGGGGCGGUUCGCCGCCCCCGACGUCGCGAGAAGUCCAUUGAACCUUAUCAUUUAGAGGAAGGAGAAGUCGUAACAAGGUUUCCGUAGGUGAACCUGCGGAAGGAUCAUUG